GAUGAACGCUGGCGGCGUGCUUAACACAUGCAAGUCGAACGAAACACCUUAUUUGAUUUUCUUCGGAACUGAAGAUUUGGUGAUUGAGUGGCGGACGGGUGAGUAACGCGUGGGUAACCUGCCCUGUACAGGGGGAUAACAGUCAGAAAUGACUGCUAAUACCGCAUAAGACCACAGCACCGCAUGGUGCAGGGGUAAAAACUCCGGUGGUACAGGAUGGACCCGCGUCUGAUUAGCUGGGUGGUGAGGUAACGGCUCACCAAGGCGACGAUCAGUAGCCGGCGUGAGAGAGUGAACGGCCACAUUGGGACUGAGACACGGCCCAAACUCCUGCGGGAGGCAGCAGUGGGGAAUAUUGCACAAUGGGGGAAACCCUGAUGCAGCGACGCCGCGUGAGUGAAGAAGUAUUUCGGUAUGUAAAGCUCUAUCAGCAGGGAAGAAAAUGACGGUACCUGACUAAGAAGCCCCGGCGAACUACGU
rnacentral:rRNA from 1 species